UACGAAGGGGGCUAGCGUUGUUCGGAAUUACUGGGCGUAAAGCGCGCGUAGGCGGAUAUUUAAGUCAGGGGUGAAAUCCCGGGGCUCAACCCUGGAACUGCCUUUGAUACUGGAUAUCUGGAGUUCGGGAGAGGUGAGUGGAAUUCCGAGUGUAGAGGUGAAAUUCGUAGAUAUUCGGAGGAACACCAGAAGCGAAGGCGGCUCACUGGCCCGAUACUGACGCUGAGGCGCGAAAGCGUGGGGAGCAAACGGG
rnacentral:rRNA from 1 species